rnacentral:rRNA from 1 species
AUUGAACGCUGGCGGCAGGCCUAACACAUGCAAGUCGAACGAGUGGCGGACGGGUGAGUAAUGUCUGGGAAACUGCCUGAUGGAGGGGGAUAACUAAUGGAAACGGUAGCUAAUACCGCAUACCAUCAGAUGUGCCCAGAUGGGAAUAGCUAGGUGGUGGGGUAACGGCUCAACAAGGCGACGAUCCCUAGCUGGUCUGAGAGGAUGAACGGCCACACUGGAACGGAGACACGGUCCAGACUCCUACGGGAGGCAGCAGUGGGGAAUAUUGCACAAUGGGCGCAAGCCUGAUGCAGCCAUGCCGCGUGUAUGAAGAAGGCCUUCGGGUUGUAAAGUACUUUCAGCGGGGAGGCGUUACCCGCUGAAGAAGCACCGGCUAACUCCGUGCCAGCCGCCGCGGUAAUAC